UACGUAGGGAGCAAGCGUUGUCCGGAAUCAUUGGGCGUAAAGCGCGCGUAGGUGGCCUCGUAAGUCCGCUGUGAAAGUCAAAGGCUCAACCUUUGAAAGCCGGUGGAUACUGUGAGGCUAGAGUACGGAAGAGGCGAGUGGAAUUCCUGGUGUAGCGGUGGAAUGCGCAGAGAUGUGGAGGAACACCAGUGGCGAAGGCGGCUUUCUGGUCUGUAACUGACGCUGAGGCGCGAAAGCGUGGGGAGCAAACAGG
rnacentral:rRNA from 1 species